rnacentral:rRNA from 1 species
AGCGUACACGGUGGAUGCCCUGGCAGUCAGAGGCGAUGAAGGACGUGCUAAUCUGCGAUAAGCGUCGGUAAGGUGAUAUGAACCGUUAUAACCGGCGAUUUCCGAAUGGGGAAACCCAGUGUGAUUCGUCACACUAUCAUUAACUGAAUCCAUAGGUUAAUGAGGCGAACCGGGGGAACUGAAACAUCUAAGUACCCCGAGGAAAAGAAAUCAACCGAGAUUCCCCCAGUAGCGGCGAGCGAACGGGGAGCAGCCCAGAGCCUGAAUCAGUGUGUGUGUUAGUGGAAGCGUCUGGAAAGGCGCGCGAUACAGGGUGACAGCCCCGUACACAAAAAUGCACAUGCUGUGAGCUCGAUGAGUAGGGCGGGACACGUGGUAUCCUGUCUGAAUAUGGGGGGACCAUCCUCCAAGGCUAAAUACUCCUGACUGACCGAUAGUGAACCAGUACCGUGAGGGAAAGGCGAAAAGAACCCCGGCGAGGGGAGUGAAAAAGAACCUGAAACCGUGUACGUACAAGCAGUGGGAGCACGCUUAGGCGUGUGACUGCGUACCUUUUGUAUAAUGGGUCAGCGACUUAUAUUCUGUAGCAAGGUUAACCGAAUAGGGGAGCCGAAGGGAAACCGAGUCUUAACUGGGCGUUAAGUUGCAGGGUAUAGACCCGAAACCCGGUGAUCUAGCCAUGGGCAGGUUGAAGGUUGGGUAACACUAACUGGAGGACCGAACCGACUAAUGUUGAAAAAUUAGCGGAUGACUUGUGGCUGGGGGUGAAAGGCCAAUCAAACCGGGAGAUAGCUGGUUCUCCCCGAAAGCUAUUUAGGUAGCGCCUCGUGAAUUCAUCUCCGGGGGUAGAGCACUGUUUCGGCAAGGGGGUCAUCCCGACUUACCAACCCGAUGCAAACUGCGAAUACCGGAGAAUGUUAUCACGGGAGACACACGGCGGGUGCUAACGUCCGUCGUGAAGAGGGAAACAACCCAGACCGCCAGCUAAGGUCCCAAAGUCAUGGUUAAGUGGGAAACGAUGUGGGAAGGCCCAGACAGCCAGGAUGUUGGCUUAGAAGCAGCCAUCAUUUAAAGAAAGCGUAAUAGCUCACUGGUCGAGUCGGCCUGCGCGGAAGAUGUAACGGGGCUAAACCAUGCACCGAAGCUGCGGCAGCGACACUAUGUGUUGUUGGGUAGGGGAGCGUUCUGUAAGCCUGUGAAGGUGUACUGUGAGGUAUGCUGGAGGUAUCAGAAGUGCGAAUGCUGACAUAAGUAACGAUAAAGCGGGUGAAAAGCCCGCUCGCCGGAAGACCAAGGGUUCCUGUCCAACGUUAAUCGGGGCAGGGUGAGUCGACCCCUAAGGCGAGGCCGAAAGGCGUAGUCGAUGGGAAACAGGUUAAUAUUCCUGUACUUGGUGUUACUGCGAAGGGGGGACGGAGAAGGCUAUGUUGGCCGGGCGACGGUUGUCCCGGUUUAAGCGUGUAGGCUGGUUUUCCAGGCAAAUCCGGAAAAUCAAGGCUGAGGCGUGAUGACGAGGCACUACGGUGCUGAAGCAACAAAUGCCCUGCUUCCAGGAAAAGCCUCUAAGCAUCAGGUAACAUCAAAUCGUACCCCAAACCGACACAGGUGGUCAGGUAGAGAAUACCAAGGCGCUUGAGAGAACUCGGGUGAAGGAACUAGGCAAAAUGGUGCCGUAACUUCGGGAGAAGGCACGCUGAUAUGUAGGUGAAGCGACUUGCUCGUGGAGCUGAAAUCAGUCGAAGAUACCAGCUGGCUGCAACUGUUUAUUAAAAACACAGCACUGUGCAAACACGAAAGUGGACGUAUACGGUGUGACGCCUGCCCGGUGCCGGAAGGUUAAUUGAUGGGGUUAGCGCAAGCGAAGCUCUUGAUCGAAGCCCCGGUAAACGGCGGCCGUAACUAUAACGGUCCUAAGGUAGCGAAAUUCCUUGUCGGGUAAGUUCCGACCUGCACGAAUGGCGUAAUGAUGGCCAGGCUGUCUCCACCCGAGACUCAGUGAAAUUGAACUCGCUGUGAAGAUGCAGUGUACCCGCGGCAAGACGGAAAGACCCCGUGAACCUUUACUAUAGCUUGACACUGAACAUUGAGCCUUGAUGUGUAGGAUAGGUGGGAGGCUUUGAAGUGUGGACGCCAGUCUGCAUGGAGCCGACCUUGAAAUACCACCCUUUAAUGUUUGAUGUUCUAACGUUGACCCGUAAUCCGGGUUGCGGACAGUGUCUGGUGGGUAGUUUGACUGGGGCGGUCUCCUCCUAAAGAGUAACGGAGGAGCACGAAGGUUGGCUAAUCCUGGUCGGACAUCAGGAGGUUAGUGCAAUGGCAUAAGCCAGCUUGACUGCGAGCGUGACGGCGCGAGCAGGUGCGAAAGCAGGUCAUAGUGAUCCGGUGGUUCUGAAUGGAAGGGCCAUCGCUCAACGGAUAAAAGGUACUCCGGGGAUAACAGGCUGAUACCGCCCAAGAGUUCAUAUCGACGGCGGUGUUUGGCACCUCGAUGUCGGCUCAUCACAUCCUGGGGCUGAAGUAGGUCCCAAGGGUAUGGCUGUUCGCCAUUUAAAGUGGUACGCGAGCUGGGUUUAGAACGUCGUGAGACAGUUCGGUCCCUAUCUGCCGUGGGCGCUGGAGAACUGAGGGGGGCUGCUCCUAGUACGAGAGGACCGGAGUGGACGCAUCACUGGUGUUCGGGUUGUCAUGCCAAUGGCACUGCCCGGUAGCUAAAUGCGGAAGAGAUAAGUGCUGAAAGCAUCUAAGCACGAAACUUGCCCCGAGAUGAGUUCUCCCUGACUCCUUGA